UGCGGGGGUACAGGUUAGUCGAGGUAAUUUGUAAAGUGACUAUGCAUAGAUAAUAAACAGCGAGUAGCGGCAGUGUAAAAACAAAGUGGGGGGAAAUGUAAAUAGUCCGGGAGGCCAUUUGAUUAUCGUUGUCGGUGAUCAGGCCUACCACUGUUGUGUCAUCAGCAAGUUUAAUGAUGGUGUUGGGAGUACAGGAGGGGACUAAGCACGCACCCCUGAGGGGCCCCCGUGUUGUUGCAUACCCUUACCACCUGACGGCGGCCUGUCAGGAAGUCCAGGAUCCAGUUGCAGAGGGAGGUGUUUAGUCCCAGGGUCAUUAGCUUAGUGAUGAGCUUUGUGUGCACUAGGAUGUUGAACGCUGAGCUGUAGUCAAUAAACAGCAUUCUUACAUUGGGGUUCCUUUUGUCCAGGUGGGAAAGGGCAGUGUGGAUUGUGAUUGAGAUUGCAUCAUUUGUUGAUCUGUUGGGGUGGUAUGUGAAUUGAAGUGGGUCUAGGGUUUCCGGGAUGAUGGUGUUGAUGUGAGCCAUGACCAGCCUUUCAAAGCACUUCAUAGCUACCAACGUGAGUGCUACGGGGCUGUAGUCAUUUAGGACACACAUCUCAACCUCCACAUAUUUGAGUAUAUCCAUCCAUUCAGUCUGGUGGGUCAUACUGGUCAGAGGGAGCUGGGGUGCAGACACCAGACUGUGGGAGUGAAAGUUGUGGGUGUGUUUGGAAGGACGGUGGACUCAGUGGAGGAUAUCCCAGCCAAUUGGCAGUGUUGGCACUGCUACUUUCUACCUGAUGGGACGAGUUGAAGGUGGAGCAUGCCUCGUACCUGUGGAAGCACCUGGAACUCUGUGCCAUGAUGGCCGACUUCUUGCAAUUCCUGUUACUACGAAAACCGAGCUAUGUCUUCAUGUUCGCCCAUGAGGACAUCUCUCCCUUCGCCUCCCGGCAACCCUUCAAUACCUUCAAUACCUCCUCACCUUGAGGACACACACUGUGCCUGCGUCUCAAUAGUCUUGUAGGUUCCUCCUACUGGCACUUUAGUGAGGACAAUACUGUUCUGGUUAGCACUUGUCAUUAGUAUGUAGAGGCCCUCCAUCAUCAAAUGAAUGCUUUUAUGUAUCUUUUUUGUAUUUUAUUUUGUGAUACUGUUUUUACUUUCUACUGUUUUUGUAUGAGCUGCAAUGAAACAAAUUCCAAUCAACUGUUGAUAUGCCAGUCGCAAGAGUUACAGUUGUCAGUUGGUGUGAAUAAAAUAUUAUUAUUAUUAUUUCAUGUCUUGUAUAUUAACUUUAUCCUCGAGUGUGAUAAUUUCAGUAACUGCUACCUUGCUUUGGCUCUGAUGUGAUCACCCCAUAAAUCUGUAAGAAUGAAAUGCUAUGUAUGUAUGAUCUGGUUUCUGAAUGGAAUACUUUGAUGAGUGUCCUUUCAACUGGCCUUUACCUAAUUUGUCAAGACAACAUGGUUUUGUUGUCCUUUAAACUUUAAUCCAUACCUCUGAUUCAACCACAAAUGUGUCACACCCUGAUCAGUUUCACCUGUCCUCGUUAUUGUCAGCACACCUUCCAGGUGUCGCUUGUUUUCCCCACUGUAUUUAUCCCUGUUUCCUGUCUCUCUGUG
rnacentral:lncRNA from 1 species